GGGGCUGUAGCGCAGCUGGUAGCGCACUUGCAUGGCAUGCAAGGGGUCAGGGGUUCGACUCCCCUCAGCUCCAC
rnacentral:tRNA from 2 species